rnacentral:rRNA from 1 species
UCCGCAAUGGGCGAAAGCCUGACGGAGCGACGCCGCGUGCGGGAUGAAGGCCUUCGGGUUGUAAACCGCUGUCAGUUGGGAGGAAAUCUAUGGGGGUUCUCCCCCAUAGUUGACCUAUCUUCAGAGGAAGGACGGGCUAAGUUCGUGCCAGCAGCCGCGGUAAGACGAACCGUCCAAACGUUAUUCGGAAUCACUGGUCUUAAAGGGUGCGUAGGAAAACAAAACAAGUUGGGUGUGAAAUCCCUCGGCUCAGCCGAGGAACUGCGCUCAAAACUGCCAAGCUAGAGGAAGAUAGAGGUGAGCGGAACUAAUGGUGGAGCGGUGAAAUGCGUUGAUAUCAUUAGGAACACCUGUGGCGAAAGCGGCUCACUGGGUCUUUUCUGACGCUGAGGCACGAAAGCUAGGGUAGCGAACGGGAUUAGAUACCCCGGUAGUCCUAGCUGUAAACGAUGAGCACUAGGUUGGAGGCUCCUCCAUAGGUUUCCGACCGAAGCGAAAGUGUUAAGUGCUCCGCCUGGGGAGUUUUGUCGCGAGGCUGAAACUCAAAGGAA